rnacentral:rRNA from 1 species
UCCGAAGGGUGCAAUCUUGACUCGGAAUUACUGGGCGUAACGCGCGCGUAGGUGGUUCGUUAAGUUGGAUGUGAAAGCCCCGGGCUCAACCUGGGAACUGCAUCCAAAACUGGCGAGCUAGAGUAUGGCAGAGGGUGGUGGAAUUUCCUGUGUAGCGGUGAAAUGCGUAGAUAUAGGAAGGAACACCAGUGGCGAAGGCGACCACCUGGGCUAAUACUGACACUGAGGUGCGAAAGCGUGGGGAGCAAACAGGAUGAGAUAACACCGUAGUCC